AACUCUGAGCGGUGGAUCACUCGGCUCGUGCGUCGAUGAAGAGCGCAGCCAACUGCGUGAAUUAGUGUGAAUUGCAGGAUAUCUUGAACAUCGACAUCUUGAACGCAUAUUGCGGCCUCAGGUCUCCCCUGUGGCCCACGCCUGGCGAGGGUCG
rnacentral:rRNA from 1 species